CCGAGAAUAUUCGACAAUGGGCGAAAGCCUGAUCGAGCGACACCGCGUGAUGGAUGAAGACCUUAGGGUCGUAAACAUCUUUUGUGAGGGAGAAAGUUUAUUGAUAGUACCUCAAGAAUAAGGGGUUGCUAAACUCGUGCCAGCAGCAGCGGUGAUACGAGUGCCCCGAGCGUUAUCCGGAAUUAUUGGGCGUAAAGGGUGUGUAGGUGGUCGCACAAGUCUUUUGUUAAAACCUGGGGCUCAACCCCAGAUCUGCGAAGGAAACUGCGCGACUAGAGGAUGCGAGGGAUGUAUGGAACUCAUGGAGUAGGGGUGAAAUCCGUUGAUAUCAUGGGGAACACCGAAAGCGAAGGCAGUACAUUGGCGCAUUCCUGACACUGAAACACGAAAGCGUGGGUAGCGAAUGGGAUUAGAUACCCCCGUAGUCC
rnacentral:rRNA from 1 species